ACAGCUGCAAUUCCCAGAAUUCCCUGGGGGGCGAGAUUGACUGUUAAACCACUGUAGGAAUUGUAAGUCUGUGAGCUGCUCUAAGAAACUGAAUUUAUAGCCGGUGGGAAAUUCCAAUGCGGAAGGAAAAGUGAAAUCUCAAAUACUCUCUAGGUCAGUGCUUCCUUCCUUUUGAUGACAUCUGUCUCAGGCAGGGGACGGCAUAGCAGGGGUGCCCUGGAGCUCUUGUUUGUGUUGAUGACAUGUUCCCACCAGUUUGCCACCAGCAUGCCCCAGGCUCCGUAUCAUUCUGGCCAUUACUGUCAGUAAGAAUGACAAUAAUUGACUUGUCUAACAGAUGACCUAUUGUUAAGAACCUAAAAACAUAAGAAGAUUCCUGCUGGAUGAGACCAAAGACCCAUCCAUUCUGCGUCUGUUCUUUCCGUGGCCAAUGAGAAGUCCACAAGCAGGACCCAAGUACAAAAGCACUCACCCCAUGUGUGCUGCCCAACAAACAGUAUUCAGAGGUAUAUGGCCACUAAUGCUAUUUUUCUAUAGCUGUCCUGCUCUUUGUAAUGGACAGAUUUGUGAAAAUUGUGUUCUGCAUUAUAGGGUGGCUAGGUGUUUUAUUCUCACUGGUUCAUUUAACGUUGGGAGUGUUCUGUAGUACAGUCAUACCUCGGGUUAGAGACGCUUCAGG